GAAAUGCGAUAAGUAAUGUGAAUUGCAGAAUUCAGUGAAUCAUCGAAUCUUUGAACGCACCUUGCGCUCCUUGGUAUUCCUUGGAGCAUGCCAGUUUGAGUAUCAUGAAAUCUUCAAAGUAAAUCUUUUGUUAACUCAAUUGGUUUCUACUUUGGUAUUGGAGGUCUUUGCAGCUUCACACCUGCUCCUCUUUGUUCAUUAGCUGGAUCUCAGUGUUAUGCUUGGUUCCACUCGGCGUGAUAAGUUAUCUAUCGCUGAGGACACUGUAAAAGGUGGCCAAGGUAAAUGCAGAUGAACCCCUUCUAAUAGUCCAUUGACUUGGACAAUACUUUUAUGAUCUGAUCUCAAAUCAGGUAGGACUACCCGCUGAACUUAAGC
rnacentral:misc_RNA from 1 species